CGCACAUUGCGCCCUCUGGUAUUCCGGGGGGCAUGCCUGUUCGAGCGUCAUUAUAACCACUCAAGCUCUCGCUUGGUAUUGGGGUUCGCGUCCUCGCGGCCCCUAAAAUCAGUGGCGGUGCCUGUCGGCUCUACGCGUAGUAAUACUCCUCGCGAUUGAGUCCGGCUGGUCUACUUGCCAACAACCCCCAAAUUUUUACAGGUUGACCUCGGAUCAGGUAGGGAUACCCGCUGAACUUAA
rnacentral:misc_RNA from 1 species